CCCAGCUACAUUCCUACUAAAUUUCCUACAGUUUAUAAAUCUCAAAAGUUAAUGAGUUAAUGGUCACGAAUAGAUUUAAGCGCUUAAUGGACCGCCGGCAGAACAAAAAUGUAUCUUCAGCACUCAAUCCUGAGCCUGAAGUUAAUGAAUUGCAAGAAAUGAUUACUGAAGAUCCGCCGACAGUAACUCAUUUGAGAGUUGAUCAAGAGUGUCAAGUUAACUAGCUUUAAAGUCAAGUUAAAUAGCUUUCGUUAUUCUUGCGAAACUCUUCUACCUCUCGGACAUGUUCAGCAAGAACUAGCUUUUUUCCUUUUACCAAUGUUUGUGGCUGGAACUGAAUUUCGUGGGUUAUUGAUUGAAAUCCCGUUUUUAUUAUGGUUUCCAUUUUAAAUCCAAAUCUAAAAAUAAAAAUGAUAAAUUUAAUCGAUUAAAAAA